rnacentral:lncRNA from 1 species
GGAAGUGUAGGAAAGAAAGGUGGUUCAGUCUAAUAAAAUCUAACCCUUCAACUUAGACCGUUUGGUUGGUCCACUAUUUUCCUUGAUCGGCCCCAAAUCUACCAGUCAAAUCAUUUCUUUUAUCUUCCUUUUUCAGUUAAACCUUUUGCUUACCCCUAUACUUGUCUUUCGCUCCUCUUCAUGCAAACAUUCACACAAUGUGACGAACACUUUCUCUGCAAUCUUUCUGACAGAUAGAUAUUCCCAUACAAACAGAGAAAAACUACUCUCUUCUUGUAUUCUAAACUUUUUUUUCCUUCUACUUUCUAUCUGCUUCAUUUCUCGCCAAACAUGUGCAGCUUCAAAAACAUCGUUCAAGUUUUGAUAUAAAGAUUGCGAGCCGGGUAAGUUAUCAUAUCGUCAAUCUUGUAGCUAGUCUUAAUUUACUGUUGCGUUUGUAUAUUCUUAUUGUUUGGCUGUUCGCAUUAUGGGGAAAUGCUUUAUUUUAUUUUUUACUGUUCAUGUGGUUGUUAGUUGAUGAAUAAUGAAUGAUGAUUAUAUGUGUGGCCUUUGAUUUCAUUCUGCUACAGUUUUUGUUUCUGUUCAAGUUUCGAUAUACAGAGGUUGCGGGCCGGUUAAGUCAUCAUAUUGUCAAUCUUGUAGCUAGUCUUGAUUUACUGUUGCGUGUGUGUAUUCUUAUUGUUUGAGCGUUCGUGUUAUGGGAAAAUACUCUGUUUUUUAUUGUUCAUGUGGUUGUUAGUUGAUGAAUAAUGAACGAUGAUUAUAUGCGUGGUCUUCGAUUUCAUUCUGCUACAGUUUUGGUUUCGAGCAUAAUAAGUGAUUUUCCAUUCGUUAAUUACUCUGAAAACUUUUGGAUGAUUAAUUAAUUUGUUUAUAUAGAAGGUCAACACGGAUUCAAAAAUUUUAUUCAGGUUCAACUUUAAAGAAUAGUCAAUAAAAAUAAAAUAUAUAAAAUAAAUAUAUAUUUAGAAAAUUUAUAAAAUAUUAUAAUUAAAUUAUAUUUUUUUGGAAGAACAAUUCUAGUUAUGUUUUUUAUUUUACCAUAAAUUAUUUGAAUUUUUUUUAUAAAAUUAACCAUACCAAACAACUACUAUCAAAUUAAAUUAUAUUAAUAAAUUGUAAUAUAUAUAUAUAUAUAUAUUUAGGAUUAACCCUUAAAAUACUUUAUAAAUAGGACAUAAAUAAUUAAUAAAAUUUAGCUUUGGGCUUAUUUGUACGACUUGUUGUGUUAGCCGACCAGAAGCCCAAUCCAAACACUCAAAUUUCAAGUGGGUCCAUGAUAGCCCAAAAUCAACCAAAACUCUAGGACCAGGUGGCUAGGAGGUAUAUGUCACAAACAAUCCUUUAAUUUGAGAAUAUUCACUCCCUAAAAUAAUAAUAAAAUUUAUGUGCUUUCAUUUAUAAAAAAUUAUAGAUAUUGUUUAAAUAGUAUUUUAUCUAUUAGAUUAUUAAUAUAUAUUUAUUUAAUCAGAAAUAAUUUUAUAACAUAAGUUAUUUAAUUUUUAAAAGAGCAAUAUAAAUUGAGAAGAUAUUAAAAGAUUUGACCAUAAAAACCAAAAUUUUUAAAAUUAUAAAUUUAAAAAAAAACUUAUUUUUAUAUAAUGAAUGAAAUAAUUGAUUAAAUACUAACGUUUCCAUUUAAAUUAUGACUUGGUUGAUAUUAAAUAAUUUAUCAAAUACAAAUAAUGGUUUUUAUGGUCAUUCAUUUUUUUAUAUUAUAUUAUAUAAUAUAACUCAGGAACGCAUGCUUUGCAGCUGCUUUCGACUAAUGUGAGAUAGUAUUUAUAUUUGAGAUAUAUUUGCGUUGGAUAAAGCCAUAGAUAAUUGAUGAAAUUAAUUAAUAAUUUGGACUGAUGAUUUCUUUAACCUUUGCGGAACAUGAAAUAUCUUUUUUUUACCUUAAAUUAUUUAUGAUGCUUGUAGUUGAGAUUUUUAAGUAGGCUAGGGAAGAAUAAUUCUGUCGACUUGUUAACUAACAGUCGAAAACUGACAAAGAUCUUGGAUCAGCGUGGAAAAGUUGACAAGAUUGGAGAGUUCCGAUAUAUAUUUAUAUAUUGGGAAAUCCAUUGUAAAACAUAUCUCUGUUGCUUUUACAUAGGAGUUUCUAUUUGUGUGGUUUGCAGACACAAUUCCUGAAUUUUUGUUUUUUCGCUUUUCAGGAUUGUGUCUCGUGCUCAUUUGUUGAAAAUUUUUUCUUUAUUUAUUUAUUUUUAAACAUAACAAUAUGUAUUUACAUGGUUGAUAGGACAAAUCUACAAUAAAAUAAUAAUCAUAGUCUAAAAAAAAUCCACUCAUUCUAAUUAAACUAAUUAAUAAAUUAAAUAAAAAAUUAAACCGAUUCAAUCAGAUGAAUAUCAACUUAGUUAAAUUAGAAAUACGAUACUCGUGUUACAACAUCAUAUUAUUUAAGAAUUCGUUUUUCAAACUGCACCACCGUUCAUAUAAAAUCACAAAAUUUCAUAAGUUAUUAAAUUAUCCCAACGAAAAAUGAAAAUUUAUCCAUUCAAACAAAUAAGAAAAUUAAAUCGUUAAACACAUCUCUGUACACAAAGUAUAAAUCUGGAAAACAGAGAAAAAACAAAAAUAACACAUAUUCAAAACUCCUCGCCAUGGUAGAGAGUUCAUCACCAUCAACAGGAGAGCAAAAAACCUAAAAACUUAACAUGCAAACAGUUUCCACUGGGUUGGAGAAGGCUAAACAAAACUCAAUUGAUGCUCAAAACAAAGCAAUAGAAAUCAAAACUGACAAUUAAAAGAAAAACCAGAAAAAACAAACGAAGGAAAAUGCGCCCUUCCCCUUUCUCUCACUCUUCCCUUCCCGGUAGCCCUUUCUGAUCAAUAUACCAAACACAAACGAAUCAACAAAUUCAAAACUCCGUCUUCUCCUUCUUGGUCGCGUCGCUUCUGGCCCUAGCUGGCUUUCUCUCUCUUUCCAGAAGCUCCGAAGCCCUGAUUUAUUGAAAAUCUGAAGAUGGCAGUUGCUCAUUAAUUCCUUCCUUCUAAAUCAUAAUUCAGUAGAAACUAGUUAAAGUUAAGGAAUAAUUUUUUUAAGUGUACAUGUAGAUAUAUCAUUCUUAAUCAAGUUUGAACUGUAGUGCACACGUAUAUAUAAUUAAAUAGCAAGGGUAAACGAUCAAACUUAAUUUUAAACAUAUAUUAUAUCUAUUUCCAACAGUUAUGGUAUUUUAUACUGAAUUUUUUUUCCUAAUAAAGAGGUUCUAUGCGUACGACAUGAUUCCAUUUAUAGGUUUAAACAUAGAAUUUCAAAAUUCAAGCACUAAAGUGCAAAUCGGAUAAAAACUCAAGCAGCAUGAGUGCCCGAUAUACCCCUAGCUAGUAUAUGAAAAAUUGUACAUUACCACGAAGAUCUCAGGUAAGACACUAGCAGAGUAUGAUAAAUGUCACAUUGAAAAAAAAAACUGUGUAACAUUUAUCUAUUUUUUUUCUUAAAAAGGUGUAUUAUAAUUUACAUGUCUGAUUUUUAUUAAUUUGUCAUUUCAUGUCAAACUGCACAAAUAUAUUCUUAAAAUUGAUUAGUUUGAGCAAAUUAUCAUGCAUUGCUAUUAGUGCACCUGUAUAUCUUUCUUAAUGUUAUACAAUUAUGUAUCUAAUACACCAAACCAUUCUGACAAUAAGAUGACAUGAAACCUUAACCCAUAUAUAUGCAUCUUGAACUUUAAACUAGCUACUACUAUAGACUGCACGGAUUUCAUUACUAUAAUGCUGUUAUUCCUACUUCAUGAUAAUGAGUGGUUUAGAGUUUGAAAUUUUCAACUGAAGUAAGAAAAGAAAAAAAAAAAAUCAGAUUGCAAAGGGAAUCUUUCGUUCAUGUGAGAAAUAAGUUAGAGCAUGAUUUAUAUAUAUAUAUACGAUGGUUGAUCGAUAUGUUAAGAUUAAAUUUGAGAUUUCAAUACAAACACGCACAAGCAUGUUGAUAAUAUAACAAGUUACUAUAUAACAACAUACAUUCAUUCGCACACAAAGUUCACAUCAUACAUUGUUCUGAAAAUGGAGUUCAUAUGCUUACGUUACAGACACCAAACAAUAAUAGAUAUUUUAUUAAAUAGUGUACAUAAAAUGAUAAACCGAUCAAACCCCUAGCAUUCCUGCUAACUAUUAAUUCGUGCCUCAGCGAAUGCAGGUGCUGCAUUUGGAAUAUAGACGUACUGCUAGUGGAGAUGAUCGUUAACCCUCUUGCUGGGAUCAUUUUGGUUAGUGGGGGACAUGAGAACAGAUUCCCAGCUAGGGCCAUAGCCAAAAGUUGAAGUACUGGUUGAAAGCAAAGGAUCCGAACUGGCCACAAUCAGGUUGCCUUCUUGCUGCAUCUGCUGGCUAGUGAAAGCUUCCUCAUUGAUAAGUGAAUUGAGAAAUGAAGAGAAGACAUCGU